UGGGGGUUAAAUGCUGGUAUUUUGAUAUCCUAUCGGUGGAGAUUGUACACUGAUAUUUUGAUACCCCACCAGUGAAGAUUGCAUGCUGAUAUUUCGAUAUCUUGCCAAUAGAGAUAGUAUGCUAGUAUUUCGAUACUCUAUUAGUGAGGAUUGUAUGUUGGUAUUUUGAUACCCUACUAAUGGAAGUUAUAUGCUGGUACUUUGGUAUCCUAUCAUUGGAGGUUAUAUAGUGGUACUUU
rnacentral:lncRNA from 1 species